AGCCAACUGUCAAGUAUCUGGGAUUCAAUAUCUCUGAAGGUCAAAGGAUAAUGGGGCCUGAAAGAAAAGAGGCUGUAUGCCAAAUACCAACACCUAAGAAUAGAAGACAAGUGCGAGAAUUCUUAGGGGCAGCAGGCUUCUGUAGGAUAUGGAUUCCCAGUUAUGCGAUACUGGCGAAACCCCUCUAUGCCGCUAUUAAAGGCACGGAACAUGAUUCCUUCCUGUGGACCAUCGAACAGCAGAAAGCAUUUGAGGAUGUUAAGAAGGCAUUGAUGAGCGCCCCCACAUUAGGUCUACCUGAU